UACGGAGGGUGCGAGCGUUGUCCGGAAUCAUUGGGCGUAAAGGGCGCGUAGGUGGCCCGGUCAGUUCGUGGUGAAAGCGCGGGGCUCAACCCUGCGUCGGCCAUGAAUACUGCCGCGGCUGGAGCACUGUAGAGGCAGGCGGAAUUCCGGGUGUAGCGGUGGAAUGCGUAGAGAUCCGGAAGAACACCGGUGGCGAAGGCGGCCUGCUGGGCAGUUGCUGGACACUGAGGCGCGACAGCGUGGGAGCAAACAGG
rnacentral:rRNA from 1 species